rnacentral:rRNA from 1 species
GACGAACGCUGGCGGCGUGCCUAAUACAUGCAAGUCGAACGCUUCUUUCCUCCCGAGUGCUUGCACUCAAUUGGAAAGAGGAGUGGCGGACGGGUGAGUAACACGUGGGUAACCUACCCAUCAGAGGGGGAUAACACUUGGAAACAGGUGCUAAUACCGCAUAACAGUUUAUGCCGCAUGGCAUAAGAGUGAAAGGCGCUUUCGGGUGUCGCUGAUGGAUGGACCCGCGGUGCAUUAGCUAGUUGGUGAGGUAACGGCUCACCAAGGCCACGAUGCAUAGCCGACCUGAGAGGGGGAUCGGCCACACUGGGACUGAGACACGGCCCAGACUCCUACGGGAGGCAGCAGUAGGGAAUCUUCGGCAAUGGACGAAAGUCUGACCGAGCAACGCCGCGUGAGUGAAGAAGGUUUUCGGAUCGUAAAACUCUGUUGUUAGAGAAGAACAAGGACGUUAGUAACUGAACGUCCCCUGGCGGUAUCUAACCAGAAAGCCACGGCUAACUACGUG